rnacentral:tRNA from 1 species
GCGCCCGUAGCUCAAAGGAUAGAGCACGAGACUUCUAAUCUCGAGGUUGCAGGUUCGAGUCCUGCCGGGCGCG